AAUUGGAAAAAGGGAAAAAUGCUGGGUGCACCAGCAAUACCUAGCAACACCCACUAACAUAUCCCAAUCGGUCGCCCUUGCAUUCUUCAGAUUUGAGACAUACCUCGCUAGCCUGCGAACACAUUUUUGACAAUAUGUUCGGGCGACGCAGGUUUCUUUCCUUUCCUAUGGUCAUCGGGGCAGUCAUCAUUGGUGUUGUUUCUGGGAAGGCAAUAUUUGGACCCCCACUUGAUGAGUAUUGGAAAAAGAAGCAACAGGAAGAGGUAGCUGCAGCUGCUGCUAAGGAGAAUGACUCUACCUCAACCUCAACUUAAACUUAGUUCACAAUCAUCAUAUUUUUCUCUUUUCUUUGGACUAAAGAGGAGGAUUGAAAGACCGCAUUUGAAUUUAACCUUGAACGAGUCACUGCAUUCGCUUUGCUAGCAAUGGUUUUGAAACAGAGUGAACUCUUUACCGUUUCCAGUGUCUGGAGUUAGUUUUGGUUCUCUUCCCCUGUCUUUUCAAUUGAGCCAGAUUUGUAGAAAAUUAACUGUAUAACUUAUUUGUUAGCUACCUACCACUUACAAGCAUUAGUAUUAUUGCACUUGGCAUCAGAGUAAAAUUUUGUUAUACCUCAAUUAAACAGUUUGUUCCUUGACCUGCACUUACAAAUUUUGUAUCACUGAGUUAGUAACCGGAUUUAUCUAUCUCUAUAUUGAUUUCUCUUGGAUUCAAUAAAACUCAUACAAGGAAUUCCAAUU